GACCAUUGUGUGGGUGCUGAGAACUGAACUCUGCCCCUAUACAAGGGCAAAAGGUGCUCUUAACCUCAAAGUCAUUUCUCAAUCCCAACUCCCCUUAAAAACUUAUGAGCACUAAUAAGAAUGUGGGUGAGAGGGAAACACAGCACUACACUGACUGUGGCCUUGAGCUACUCCCAAAGCACAAUGGUAGUUACCUAUCCAGACGGAUAUUAGUCCUACAACUCAAAACAGAACUUCUCAGACCUUUGAUCUCAGGAUCCCUUUAAACAAACAUUUGAAAUCAUAAGGACAUCUUAUAGUAUUGGGAAAUGUAGGACAGUCAUUGACUUAGAAAUAAAAAUUGAGAGACUGAGGCAGGAGAGAGAAAGCACAUCAGUUAAGAGCACUUGUUCUUGCAGAAGACCUGGGUUCAGUUCCCAGAACACAUAUGAGGGCUCUCAUCCACUGUUCUGACACCCUCAUCUAGCCUCUAGGAGCACUACACUCAUGAGGAGUACUACUUAACGUGCAAGCAAGACAUCCAUAGGCAGGCAUAAAAUUAAACCCCAAAGAUAUUUUGUUAAAAUAUUUUAUGAUCUAUAUUUUCAAAGACAGAACAGCAAGAGGAACAGCUCUGCGUUACGAUUUUGUAAAUCUCUUUAGUAUCUGGCUUAGGAGACAGCUGGAUUCUUUUUUUUUUUUUUUUUUUUUUUUUUUUUUUUAAGAGUUGAGGACCAAAUCCAGGGCCUUGCGCUUGCUAGGCAAGUGCUCUACCACUGAGCUAAAUCCCCAACCCCAACAGCUGGAUUCUUAUUUGCUUUUUCAUUUCUCUUUCAUGCUCUAUUGUUUUGGCAGAUGAAGAAUAACGAACGCUAUGGGAAAGGGGGUAUUUUUAGCUUUCUCCAGCAGCGGGGAUACCCUCUCCAUCUCUGUCUCUGAUUUCAUUUUGAGAUUAAAGUCUUGUUAUCCAGCUUGGGCUGGCCCAAGAUCAGGAUUACCUCAAAUGCAAAAUGCGCAGUGCUCCUACCUCAGCCUUGCAAGUGCUGGCUAUACAGGUGCACUAUCAUAUCAUGCCCAGCUGACAAGUGCUGAUUUCUUUGUAAAGACGUGUGUGUGUGUGUGUGUGUGUGUGUGUGUGUGUGUGUGUGUGUGUGUUUAUGUGUACUACUUGCUUAUACAGGUACCCAGGGGGGCCAGAAGAGGAUUGUUGAGGGGUUGGUUAUGUUGCUAUGUAUUGUAAUGCUAAAUUGUAUUCUGGAAGGUCUGGACUUACAAGGGACUUGUCGUGUUAAACAAGCUUUGUUGUGCAAACCUCGUUCUGUGAUUUCAAACUAUUGGUUAAAUAAAAUUGACUACAGCCGAUUACUGGAGGGAUUAGAAGUGGGUGGGGUUUGAGUUACCUGGUUGGGAGGGAGAAGAGAAAGGAGAGAGGAGAGACCAGGUAGAGGAAGAAGAGGGAAAGGGGAGGAGAAAGCCAGAAGGGGAGAUGUACCACGAACACAUAGCCAGGAAAAACAGCAAGUAUCUGGAGUACACCGCUAGGGAAGUAUCCAGGUCAACAGUUAAAAGACUAGAUUAGGGGUUACCCCCCAGUAAUUGUAAUAAAAUAGCCAUCCAUCGUCUGAGUCUCAUUAUUUGUAAACUAUUCGGGGAUAAGCUUAAAGUGGCUGUACUACAGAGGAUGUCAGAUUCCCGGCAACUUGAGUUACUCAUUCAAAUGCAAAUAUUGGGAACCAAACCCUGGUCCUGUAAGAGCAUCACACACUCUUUUAUUUUAUUUUUUCCUUCUUUUUUUCAGAGCUGGGGACCAAACCCAGGGCCUUGCGUUUGCUAGGCAAGCGCUCUACCACUAAGCUAAAUCCCAAAUCAGACACUCUUAAACACUGAGCUAUACUGCAAGCUCCCACCAAGUGUUGGUUCUUUAAAAGUUGGGUGCAAAACAGAAUCUGAAACUGUAUCCAAAACAUCUGCCCAAAAGUCAGAUGUGGUGGUAGGUCAUGCUCGCAAUCACAGCCCUUCUCCAGAAGCUGCACCACCAAGACUGCCUCACCUUUGAAGCCAGCAUGGGCUACACAGUGAGUUCUAGUGAAAGACCCCCUCCCAGAAAGGGAAUUGUACAAGCCCAAGGCCCUCAACUAAAGAAGUAAAAAAUAAGUUUUUAGAUAUGUGGGACAAGCUGACCCAUCAUUUAGACGAAACAGACCAGAAAAGAAAACAAAAUGCAGAAACUAGACUAAAAUAUGGGCAUUGCUCCAUGGGCCACCUGGCGGGGAAAAAGAAACAGUCCCUGACCCCCCGGGAAGCCCUGACCACCAUGUACUUUUUGCUAACUCAACUGUUAUGAUUAUAGCCAAAAUAGGUAACAUACACGUAUGCCUCAUUUACUCCACCAAUCACAUCCCUGUAACCAUGCAUCUGCUUCUGUAAGCCUGCUUCUGCUCCCCAAUGCCCUAUAAAAACCCGUCCCUGGUUCUGCUAGGCGCACCAGUCUUCCAAAUUGACUGGGACGCCCACAGGUACCUGUGCUCCCUGAUCAAUAAAAAAUCCUCUUGCAGAUUGCAGCCGGUGGACUCGGACUAGUCAUUGGGGCUUGAGGAUCUCCCUCCUGAGGGAAGAUUCUCUCUGAGAGUCUUACAUAUGGGGGCUCGUCCGGGAUCGGAGAUCCUCUGCCUAGAGACCACCGACCACCCACCGGGAGACUGUUACAGGUCUUCUUUACCACUGAGGAAAGACGGAAUCCUACUGGAGGCCAGAAAGAAUGUUCCAGACAUGGAUGGAAGACCCUCACUCCUGACUGUUGACUUGAAUACCCCUGAAGGUAGGGAGUGCUCCAGGUCUGCCACCAGGCUCCAAAGGUGGGUCUCCGAGGGGCUGGAAAAUGCCCCACCAAUCUGGCUAAGAUAAGGAAAAGAUAUAAAGAGAGAAAGUUACAGAAAUUUAAAGGGUUAAGCUAAGUUGCUGAGAGUUAGUGUAAGUUGCAGAGAAAGUAAAGUUGAAGUGUAGUUACAUAAGUGGACAGCAUCUAAUAGCUGUAGAGGAAGAUGCAGAAGAUAUGAGAGAGAGACUGAGGAAGAGAAAGAGGAAAGAAGGUAAAAAGAGCAGGAAGCUAAGGAAGAAAAGAGACAAAAGGAAAAAGAAGCUAGAGAGCUAAAGAGAGAUAAAAGACAGGAGAGGAAUAUAUACUGGCCACAGUAGUUAGGGAACCUAGGAAGACAGUACCUGGCAACAGAAGAGAAUUCCUAGCUAAAGAUCAGUGUGCCUAUCGCAAGGAAAAAGGACACUGGGUCAGGGACUGCCCCAGGAAGAACAAGAGGGGCCUCUCCAGCAGCCCGGAAGGCAAGUCUCUUGGUCCUAGAGUGCUGGCUAUCCGCAAAGAUAGAAGGGAAGCCUGCCCAGUUGUUUUGUGAAUACGGGGGCCCAACACUCUGUGCUCCUACGCCCAAAUGGGCUAGUGUCCAGCAAAAGACCUUGAGUACAGGGGACUACCGACAACAAAUGAUACUCAUGGACUACCCGAAGAACAGUGGACCUUGGCGUGGGCCGGGUAUCCCACUUGUUCCUUGUGAUUCCAGACUGCCCCUACGAGUCUAAACCCUGCAACCCUGCUCCCGGACCCUGACCUAGACACCCCCCUUCAUGACUGUCAGCAGGUGCUCACUAAAGCACAGGAGUGGCAUAAAGAUCGGACUGAUCAGCCAACAGAGGGGGUAGAUGCCAUCUGGUUCAUAGAUGGGAGCAGCUUCUUACAGAAGGAAAAAGAUGGGCUGGGGCAGCAGUGGUAGAUGGAAACAGAGUCAUAUGGGCUCAGGCCCUACCAGAAGCCACCACUACUCAGAGAGUAGAGCUCGCUACCCUCACCAAAGCCCUUGGGCUAAGAAAGAGACUUAACAUCUAUGUGGACAGCACGUAUGCCUUUGCUACAGCCCAUCAGCAGAGGGGCCUGCUGACAUCUGAGGGCAAGAAAAAAAGAGAUUCUGGCUAUGUUAAGGGCCCUCCAUGACCCAGCCAGGCCGAGGAAGAGACUCUGGUACACCUCAACGAGAAAGAAGAUCCUGCUACAAAAAUAGGCAGAGGCCAUGAUAAAACAAAUGCAUCAAUAGACUCACUUAGGGGUAAGCAAACUCAUCCAGACAUUUUCAAAAACUAAAUAUUAUGUCACAGGUCUCAAGUAUCUCGUGGAACAGAUAGUGCACUGAUGUAUACCAUGCCAAAAGGUAACUGUUUUCAGGAAAGUUGACUGUGGUAGGAGGCUCCGUGGGGAACGGCCUGGAUACUACUGAGAAGUGGACUUCACAGAGAUAAAACCAGGAAAAUAUGGUUAUAAAUGUCUCCUAGUGUUUAUAGAUAUCUUUUCAGGAAUAGGUAGAAGCUUUCCCCACCAAGCAAGAGACGGCCUCAAUAGUCAUCAAGAAGAUACUAGAAGAAAUCUUCCACAGGUCUGGAGUGCCCAAGGUAAUCUGGUCAGACAACAGCCCUACUUUCGUUGCCAAGGUAAGCCAGGGUGUGGCCAAGUAUUUAGAGGUUGAUUGAAAAUUACGUUGUAUUUACAGACCUCAAAGUUCAGGACAGGUAGAAUAAAUAAAUAAGACUCUAAAAGAGACCCUGACCAAAUUAACCAUGGAGACUGGCACAGACUGGGUGACACUCCUUCCCUCUUGCUCUCUUCAGAGCAAGAAAUAUUCCUUCCAGAUUCAGCUUUACCCCCUUUGAGAUCUUAUAUGGGGCCUCAGCUCCCCUGACUAUAUUAGAUGAUGUUACUGAACCAACAUGUCAUAGUAAUAAUGAUUUAUAUGCCAGGCUAAAAGACCUACAGGUGAUACAGAAAGAAAUCUGCUCACAGCUGACAGCAACCUAUGCCCCGGAGACCCCUGAGACAUGUCAUCAGUUCCAGGUCGGAGACUACAGCUACACUGAGCCCAGACACUCGCGCCUCGCUGGAAAGGACCGUACCUGGUGCUGCUGACCACCCUGACAGCCAUCAAGUCUCAGCCCUCACCAGCAGCGUACUAGCUGUUGGGGCUGAGAGCUGGGACCUAGAGGGACACUCAGAUCUUCAAAAAGCUCCCUAGUCUUAAGUGAUUGAGAGGUUGCUAUAAUGCUCACUUGAGGAGUAUGUUUUAGAAACAAGAAUUUCAUGUUUGCCUGUUUGCCCUGGGUUCCCUCGGAAUAGGUGUAAGGAUAGGCUUGAUUUUUAUUACAAAUGAUGUAACAUUACAUAUGUUAGUACUCCUAACACUUCUUGGGACUGUGCCUCAGGGAUCACAAUCUAUAUAAGUUUAGAAGUUCUAAAAGACCUUGGUAUAUAGGUUCAGAUAGUGUCCAGAUUAGAAUCCUGAUGCUAAAGACUUAUAAGACACAAAAGAGAGUUGAGAAUUAUUUAAGGCUAUCUAGGUGCUACAAGGGCAGCACAAGGACAUCUGCUGUUGCCCUAUAAUGCAAGGCUUAUAGAGAAUUCAGAACUGCCAUUGACUCAGAUAUGAAAAGAGUAAAAAAAAAGACUUUUUAGCUGACCUCCAAGAACACCUAACCUCCCUCUCAGAGGUAGUCCUUCAAAAUAGGAAAAGAUUAGACCUGAUAUUCCUUAAAGAAGGAGUCUGUGUGCUACACUAAAAGAAGAGUGUUGUUUCUAUGCAGAUCAGACAGGAAUAAUAAGAGAUAUAGUCUUUCAGUCAUUCAAACUUUUGUGCUGAGACAACAGUAUCAGAUGGUAAAACAACAAAAAACAGAGGUACCUUAACCAAGUUGAGUGGAAGAUUCCACUCAAGGACAAAAAGAAAAUGGGGGAAUGAAAGACCCCCUCCCAGAAAGGGAAUUGUACAAGCCCAAGGCCCUCAACUAUAGAAGUAAAAAAUAAGUUUUUAGAUAUGUGGGACAAGCUGACCCAUCAUUUAGACGAAACAGACCAGAAAAGAAAACAAAAUGCAGAAACUAGACUAAAAUAUGGGCAUUGCUCCAUGGGCCACCUGGCGGGGAAAAAGAAACAGUCCCUGACCCCCCGGGAAGCCCUGACCACCAUGUACUUUUUGCUAACUCAACUGUUAUGAUUAUAGCCAAAAUAGGUAACAUACACGUAUGCCUCAUUUACUCCACCAAUCACAUCCCUGUAACCAUGCAUCUGCUUCUGUAAGCCUGCUUCUGCUCCCCAAUGCCCUAUAAAAACCCGUCCCUGGUUCUGCUAGGCGCACCAGUCUUCCAAAUUGACUGGGACGCCCACAGGUACCUGUGCUCCCUGAUCAAUAAAAAAUCCUCUUGCAGAUUGCA